GACUAUACAAUCCCAGAUGAGUAUAGAAUUGGACCAUAUCAGCCCAAUGUUCCUGUUGGUAUGGACUAUGUGAUACCUAAAACAGGGUUUUACGGUAAGCUGUGUUCAUUCUUUUAUACAAAUGAAGAAGUUGCAAAGAAUACUCAUUGCAGCAGCCUUCCUCAUUAUCAGAAAUUAAAUAAAUUUCUGAAUAAAUUGGCAGAAGAAUGCAGACAGAAGAAGAAAACUUAA
rnacentral:lncRNA from 1 species